rnacentral:rRNA from 1 species
CAGUAGCCGCGGUAGUACGUAGGUGGCAAGCGUUGUCCGGAAUUAUUGGGCGUAAAGGGCUCGCAGGCGGUUUCUUGUGUCUGAUGUGAAAGCCCCCGGCUCAACUGGGGAGGGUCAUUGGAAACUGGGAAACUUGAGUGCAGAAGAGGAGAGUAGAAUUCCACGUGUAGCGGUGAAAUGCGUAGAGAUGUGGAGGAACACCAGUGGCGAAGGCGACUCUCUGGUCUGUAACUGACGCUGAGGAGCGAAAGCGUGGGGAGCGAACAGGAUUAGAUACCCCGGUAGUCCCUGUCUCUUAUAC